rnacentral:rRNA from 1 species
AGUCGACGGUAACAGGGUGCUUGCACCGCUGACGAGUGGCGAACGGGUGAGUAAUGCAUCGGAACGUACCCAGUCGUGGGGGAUAACGUAGCGAAAGUUACGCUAAUACCGCAUACGUCCUGAGGGAGAAAGCGGGGGACCGUAAGGCCUCGCGCGAUUGGAGCGGCCGAUGUCGGAUUAGCUAGUUGGUAGGGUAAAGGCCUACCAAGGCGACGAUCCGUAGCGGGUCUGAGAGGAUGAUCCGCCACACUGGGACUGAGACACGGCCCAGACUCCUACGGGAGGCAGCAGUGGGGAAUUUUGGACAAUGGGCGAAAGCCUGAUCCAGCCAUGCCGCGUGAGUGAAGAAGGCCUUCGGGUUGUAAAGCUCUUUCAGCCGGAAAGAAAUCGCGCAGGAUAAUACUCUGCGUGGAUGACGGUACCGGAAGAAGAAGCACCGGCUAACUACGUGCCAGCAGCCGCGGUAAUACGUAGGGUGCGAGCGUUAAUCGGAAUUACUGGGCGUAAAGCGUGCGCAGGCGGUUAUGUAAGACAGAUGUGAAAUCCCCGGGCUCAACCUGGGAACUGCGUUUGUGACUGCAUAACUAGAGUACGGCAGAGGGAGGUGGAAUUCCGCGUGUAGCAGUGAAAUGCGUAGAUAUGCGGAGGAACACCGAUGGCGAAGGCAGCCUCCUGGGCCAGUACUGACGCUCAUGCACGAAAGCGUGGGGAGCAA